UUGGUUGGUGCUGCAGUGGGCCCCUGCCCCAAGUGAGCAACUGUCAGAGGAGGACCGUUAGUGGAUCUGCUCAGCUAUUGGUUGGUGCUGCAGUGGGCCCCUGCCCCAAGUGAGCAACUGUCAGAGGAGGACCGUUAGUGGAUCUGCUCAGCUAUUGGUUGGUGCUGCAGUGGGCCCCUGCCCCAAGUGAGCAACUGUCAGAGGAGGACCGUUAGUGGAUCUGCUCAGCUAUUGGUUGGUGCUGCAGUGGGCCCCUGCCCCAAGUGAGCAACUGUCAGAGGAGGACCGUUAGUGGAUCUGCUCAGCUAUUGGUUGGUGCUGCAGUGGGCCCCUGCCCCAAGUGAGCAACUGUCAGAGGAGGACCGUUAGUGGAUCUGCUCAGCUAUUGGUUGGUGCUGCAGUGGGCCCCUCCCCCAAGUGACCAGCUAUCAAAAGGCGACCCUUAGUGGCUAUUCAGCCAACAGUCAGUGGAGUGGUGGUCCUCAGGCGGAGAGCGAGUCAGGACCUGGACCUCAGAGGGUGAAAGCUGUUCCUGGGGACCUUGCACUUUCUUGUCAGAAUAAAGAGUAACAAUCUGUUUGGUGGAGAUUUAUUCGAACCUCAUUACCUGACCAUGACCUGACCUGAAGAACAAGACCUCUGACACCAAGACGUUUGCAACAACUCACCAUGCCCCUCCCUCACCUUUCCUAGGGAAGGGCUUUGCUGAAAGCUUACAAGGAGUGUGAGGUCUCAAAGGCAUGAAACACCCAUCUCCUUCCGCAGCUCUCAAUAAAACUUUCUUCCAGA